rnacentral:misc_RNA from 1 species
GAUGAAGAACGUAGCGAAAUGCGAUAAGUAAUGCGAAUUGCAGAAUUCAGUGAGUCAUCGAAUCUUUGAACGCACAUUGCGCCCUUUGGUAUUCCGAAGGGCAUGCCUGUUCGAGCGUCAUUAUCACCCCUCAAGCCCCCGGCUUGGUGUUGGACGGUUUGGCGGAGGCCCUCCGGGGCCCUUGCCCCUCCCAAAGACAAUGACGGCGGCCUCGUUGGACCCCCGGUACACUGAGUUCUUUACGGGACACGUACUGGAGUAAGGGUGCGCGGGGCACGGUCUGCCUCCCCUCAGGGAGAAUCUUUUUUUACAAGGUUGACCUCGGAUCAGGUAGGGAUACCCGCUGAACUUAAGCAUAUCAAUAAGCGGAGGA